CCUACGGGUGGCUGCAGUGAGGAAUAUUGGUCAAUGGGCGCGAGCCUGAACCAGCCAAGUCGCGUGAGGGAAGACGGUCCUAUGGAUUGUAAACCUCUUUUGUCGGGGAGAAACAGACGCCACGCGUGGCGUUCCGAGAGUACCCGAAGAAAACGCAUCGGCUAACUCCGUGCCCGCAGCCGCGGUAAUACGGGGGAUGCGAGCGUUCACCGGAUUUAUUGGGUUUAAAGGGUGCGCAGGGGUAAGAUCAAGACAGCGGUACAAGUGAGAGGCUCAACCUCUUCGAGCCGUUGAAACUGGUUUUCUUGAGUGAGGGAGAAGGAUGCGGAAUGCGUGGUGGAGCGGUGAAAUGCAUAGAUAGCACGCAGAACGCCGAUUGCGAAGGCAGCAUACCGGCGCUCAACUGACGCUCAUGCACGAAAGUGUGGGUAUCGAACAGGAGUAGAUACCCUUGUAGUC
rnacentral:rRNA from 1 species